rnacentral:lncRNA from 1 species
AUUUUCCUUAGUAAACAGUACUUUAUUAAUUAUCUUUAAAAUACAUUUGGCUUGUAGUCUACAGUUUUUAUUUUUGCUUACAAGCCUUCAAAAUUAUUUUAUUCUACAGAAAUUUCAAGUACAAGGUGAUUAUUUAAAGGAGUCACCGGCAGAAUGAAUGUAGGGCUCUCUCUGAACAAGACUGUGGAGACCCCAGUUCAGAACAGCAAAAUUCUAACUUUAAAUUACAGUGUUUGUUGAGUAAAAAGCUGACAUUUUUCAAGGGCACUAGCUGCAGUCAUGGUAGUGACCUCAGCUUAAAGAAUGCCUGUGAUGUUUUGCUGGUUGGAAUUUAGUGCCUUAGAGACAGGUAGCCAUUUUAGUAACUGCGGGGAAACACAGAGAGGGUCUCAGGACAGGCAUUUAUAGGACCUCCUGUUUGUGCAUUACAAGGAUUCUGAGUGCUUGACAUUAACAGACUGUGGGACUCAACUUUAAUCUUUGGCCUUUUAAAAGAGGCCCCCUUUUAUUUAACUUUGCCUGCCAGCGUUGGAAGAUUAAAACUGAAUGAAUACAAUGUUUUGUUGUUGUUAAUUCUAUCAUUUUCUCUUUGUCAUUAUUUCUAGAAAAAGACUUCUCCUUCUAACUAUGAAAGACAGCCUGCACCCCCCCCACCACCAGACAAGCAAGCUGUGUCAAGUCCCCUUCCCCAUUUCUAUUUUCAGACAAAACAGAGGGAGGAGAUUACCCACCUGUCCUCUCUUAGUGUUAAAAAUUGGCACAGAGCAGCAUGGCCAAGCCACAGAUUUGGAAGAAUUUAACACCCGCUGGAUCCAGACAAGGAGAACUCUGUUCAAAAUAAACCCUGGACCCCCACAGGAAUGCACAGUAUCAACUGCUCCUAGGCCAGCAACCUCCACCCUCUCCCCAGAAUCAUUGCCACAGUCCUGCAGGAGUAAGAAGGUCGGUUAUGAUGACCCCCGGCACAGAUCUGAGGAACAGAAGGGGUACUGUCGAAAAGCCCCUUUAUCCAUAUAUUUAAUUCUCAAACUUUACUUUCUAUGCUUCACAGAACUAAAAGUUUACGGAGGAUUCCUUACCCUGCCAUGCUGUCCAGCGCUGUCGAUGUUGAGUAUUUGUGUUGUUCUUUUGAAACAAUCUAAUCGCACCACUAGUGCUGUCCUGGGAUGCUUCUGUAUAAUCAAACUACAGAGAGAAAGCUUUGCAGAACAAAAAAAGGGGAAAGUGAAAAUGUCCUCUAAAAUGUGUAUGCUACACAAGGCUCUCUGUACUAAAUUGCUCUUAUUGGAAAACUGCUUAUUCCUGGUAAGGGGGAAGCCACCCAGACCCUGUUCUGGAAGCACAAGGCACAAGGUGAGAAUACACCCUGGAUGGGAUGUCAGUCAGUCACACACACACAUAGGCACCCCAGGCACCCCAGGACAAUGUAGAAACUGAUAAGCCUUGUCAGCCUGUCACUGGCUCCGGAAGAAGCAGCGGUACUUUGGCUGUAGGUUUGACAAAGCCGAAAGGAGAGGUGAAGGUUUGCACCCAAAUGGCGAAGAACGAGGAGUAUCUCAAGAUGGAGGAAAUGAUUCUCUGUAAUCCAGUGGAGUUUGAGUGUUUUGAGGCGACGGAGGCCACCUGUGCCUGGCCAGGCCAGCAGGGCUACCCCACCAUGGAGGAAGAGGGAGCCUUUGACUUGUCCCCUGUGACCCUGCUAAGAGAGAACUGGACUCCUUCUUGGAGGCAGUGAGCAAGCUGACUGUCAAUUUCCCUCCGAUGGACAUUGAAGGCUGAAUGUUGGUGUAUAUGCCGCAUUGUUCUUAAGCAUUAGUAAACAUUGUUUUUUUAUGGAAGCUGCUUCAUAAAGUUUAGAUUAAGUUGGAAAACCAAGUGAGGAAAAAACAGAGCACCUAGCAGAUGGAGAGAGCAGGGACAUGUCAAGAGCUGUAAGGCAUCAGUGCCAAUAGCGACCCCACCAGGACACUGACAUCCUUAGAAGCACAGCACACUUUCUACUCUGACAUGAACAAACUCAAUCAGCUUAUGUACCAGACGGAGAACAAAGCACUGAAUAUGAAGUCAGCUCAUUGGAAAAACAAAAAUUGUAGCCCACUUAUGUACCUCUUUUUAAACUCUGAUGUAAGCAUAAUUGAAUCCCAGAAAACACAGGCUCAGAAAAAACAUUACGUAAAUGCUUUUUAUAACUUGCACCAGUACGAAUCAUAAACAAAAACAGGCUUGUCUUUCAUCCUCAACACUGUCACCUGUUAUUUUCCUCGUUUUGUACAUUUGAGAAAUAACCUUUAUCUCUGAUCUGCUGUCUGGUUGAGGUCACACUGUGUUCUGUUACUCUGCUUUCAAUCUGAUUUCCAAAAUACACUGAGCACUGAGUUGUAACUCCUUUCUAAAGGCUAGAUAUGGCAUUUAACCUACUGCUGCCUCGGGUCCAAGUAUCAGUCUGUAACAGCAACUAAAAACGUUCAAAGAGAAAUCUUACAUAGUUCUUCUGUUAUCUUGUAUGCCACCAGAAGCCAGACUUUCUAUGACUUAAAUUAAAUUUAAAAAAAAGGUCUUUCUGGUAACAUAUCUUGACACACUGCUCUGUAGACUCUGUUAUAGCUGGAACUUACAUGAAUGGUUCCCUUCCUCUAGCACUUAUUAGUCUGUUUUACCUUGACGUCAGGAUGAAGCUAGCUCAACUAAAAGUCUGCCUGCCAGCCUGACGUGAACAGAGGGUAGCCUGGGAAGCUAUUUUCAGGAACAGAUUUGUUUAACUUAGUGGGUUUGAAAAUAUGAAACUUGAGACCUGAAUCAAAACAGGAAAAACGACACUCUGUACUCCACUAAAAUGCUACAUGGUACAAAUAAACACAAAUGGUGAAAUGUGCUGGGAUUCUGUGUGUGGUCGCUGUAAUUUCUGCUCUGACUGAUAAAGGCUUCCAGCAGUUAAAGGAAAGGUCUACAUUUCAGCCCAG